AUCAAAUUAUGAAUCAUCGUGCAGUUACAAAGUGUCGUUUUCUCUGCCACUAUUCUAACUCUCUCUAGUUCUACUGACAAUUUUCUGACUGGCUAAUUCUUCUAAUCUUCCCUUGCUCCAAAUUCACCCCUUGCUUAACUCUCAGUUUUCUCUUUUAAAAACACAGUUCUAAUCCUAUUAUUUCCCUGCUAAGUUUUUCUGAUGGUCUCUCACCACUGACCUAACUAAACUCAGAUUUCUUAUCCGGCCACUUAUAACCUUCUGCAAGAUGGUUCUAAAAAAUGUUCUUUGUGUUAUCUUUCCAUUUCAUCCCUACUUACCCUUAUGUUCUCAUUAUAUUGCAUUUUGUGCUAUUUUUGGAAUGAGCUGCAAGUAACUUUGUCCUCAUUUGGAAGGUCCUGGCAUAUUUGCAGUGCAAAGUAAAUAUUAGGUCCCUUCAACUGACCAGGAAGGGAGGUUGUAAUUCCACAAUUCCAGAAAAGAAAGGAGACGCUAAUCAACAGAUGAAAUCUUUGGAAAAAAAUCCACAAUUGUGGAAGGGAGAGAAUGUGCUGCCCGAAGCUACAGAUUUGAUGAAGGGGCAGGUAUCUGCAGCCUGGCCCAUCUUAGCAAGGUCUACCUCUCCAGCUGGAAGUCAGUUGUGGAAGGCUUGUAAGUCCUAAGAUUGGUUCUGUCUUCACCCAAAAUCAGAUGGUUACAGUGUUGAUGGGCACGGCUGAUGGACAUCCCAGGAGCUGUAGAGAACAACAUUAAACUACAUGCAGGGAUUAUCAGAGAAGGUAUGGAUUUUGUCUACUGUCUGCUACUUAUAAUUACAUAACCAAAUAACUAUAUUUUAACAAAUCAGCAUUAUAUCAUAUAUUUUCUGUGCUUAUGCCUUCAGUCCCAUCCCACUGCAUUUACUAUCUUGUAUAAUGAAAUAUUUCUUACCUCUGGCUACCAUGUGUG
rnacentral:lncRNA from 1 species